rnacentral:rRNA from 1 species
GAACGCUGGCGGCAGGCCUAACACAUGCAAGUCGACGGUAACAGGAAGCAGCUUGCUGCUUCGCUGACGAGUGGCGGACGGGUGAGCAAUGUCUGGGAAACUGCCUGAUGAGGGGGAUAACUACUGGAAACGGUAGCUAAUACCGCAUAAUGUCGCAAGACCAAAGAGGGGACCUUCGGGCCUCUUGCCAUCGGAUGUGCCCAGAUGGGAUUAGCUAGUAGGUGGGGUAACGGCUCACCUAGGCGACGAUCCCUAGCUGGUCUGAGAGGAUGACCAGCCACACUGGAACUGAGACACGGUCCAGACUCCUACGGGAGGCAGCAGUGGGGAAUAUUGCACAAUGGGCGCAAGCCUGAUGCAGCCAUGCCGCGUGUAUGAAGAAGGCCUUCGGGUUGUAAAGUACUUUCAGCGGGGAGGAAGGUGUUGAGGUUAAUAACCUCAGCAAUUGACGUUACCCGCAGAAGAAGCACCGGCUAACUCCGUG